AGAGUUUGAUCCUGGCUCAGAACGAACGCUGGCGGCGUGUCUAAUACAUGCAAGUCGAACGAGAAAGUCCGAUUUCGGUUGGACGAGUAAAGUGGCGAACGGGUGAGUAACACGUGGGCAACCUGCCCUCCAGCUUGGGAUAAGCCCGGGAAACUGGGUCUAAUACCGAAUAAUAUCCGACGAUGGCAUCUUCGUCGGAUCAAAGGCGGGGCAACCUGUCACUGAGGGAUGGGCCCGCGCUCCAUUAGCUUGUUGGUAGAGUAACGGCCUACCAAGGCUACGAUGGAUAGCCGUCCUGAGAGGGUGAUCGGCCACACUGGGACUGAGAUACGGCCCAGACUCCUACGGGAGGCAGCAGUAGGGAAUAUUGCGCAAUGGGCGAAAGCCUGACGCAGCGACGCCGCGUGGGUGAUGAAGCUUCUUGGAGUGUAAAACCCUGUCAGUAGGGAAGAACCGUAUAGGGAGUAACUGCCUUAUACCUGACGGUACCUACAGAGGAAGCUCCGGCUAACUCCGUGCCAGCAGCCGCGGUAAUACGGAGGGGGCAAGCGUUGUUCGGGUUCACUGGGCGUAAAGGGCGCGUAGGCGGAUCGGCAAGUCAAAUGUGAAAACCAGCAGCUUAACUGCUGGCCUGCAUUUGAAACUGCAGAUCUUGAGUACGGGAGAGGAAAGCGGAAUUCCUGGUGUAGCGGUGAAAUGCGUAGAUAUCAGGAGGAACACCGGUGGCGAAGGCGGCUUUCUGGCCCGAUACUGACGCUGAGGCGCGAAGGCCGGGGGAGCAAACAGGAUUAGAUACCCUGGUAGUCCCGGCAGUAAACGAUGGGCACUAGGUGUUGGAGGUAUCGACCCCUUCAGUGCCGCAGCUAACGCAUUAAGUGCCCCGCCUGGGGAGUACGGUCGCAAGAUUGAAACUCAAAGGAAUUGACGGGGGCCCGCACAAGCGGUGGAGUAUGUGGUUUAAUUCGAAGCAACGCGCAGAACCUUACCUGGGUUUGACAUGUACCGGAUCAUGGCUGAAAGGUCAUUUUCCCUUCGGGGACCGGUAUGCAGGUGCUGCAUGGCUGUCGUCAGCUCGUGCCGUGAGGUGUUGGGUUAAGUCCCGCAACGAGCGCAACCCCUGUCCUUAGUUGCCAUCAGAUCAUGCUGGGGACUCUAAGGAGACUGCCGGUGAUAAGCUGGAGGAAGGUGGGGACGACGUCAAGUCCUCAUGGCCCUUACACCCAGGGCUACACACGUACUACAAUGGCCGGUACAGAGGGCUGCAAGACCGCGAGGUGGAGCUAAUCCCUAAAGCCGGCCUCAGUUCAGAUUGGAGUCUGCAACUCGACUCCAUGAAGGAGGAAUCGCUAGUAAUCGCUGAUCAGCAGGCAGCGGUGAAUACGUUCCCGGGCCUUGUACACACCGCCCGUCAAGCCACGGAAGUUGGGGGUACCCGAAGUCGUUUGCCUAACCGCAAGGAGGGCGGCGCCGAAGGUAAAACCGAUGACUGGGGCUAAGUCGUAACAAGGUA
rnacentral:rRNA from 1 species